rnacentral:rRNA from 1 species
GAGUUUGAUCUUGGCUCAGAGCGAACGCUGGCGGCGUGCUUAACACAUGCAAGUCGAACGCUCGUAGCAAUACGAGAGUGGCGGACGGGUGAGUAACGCGUGGGAAUCUACCUUACGGCGGGGAAUAACCUCGGGAAACUGAGGCUAAUACCGCAUACGCCCUACGGGGGAAGGCUUCGGCCACCGUUUGAGGAGCCCGCGUCCGAUUAGCUAGUUGGUGAGGUAACGGCUCACCAAGGCGACGAUCGGUAGCUGGUCUGAGAGGAUGAUCAGCCACACUGGGACUGAGACACGGCCCAGACUCCUACGGGAGGCAGCAGUGGGGAAUAUUGGACAAUGGGGGAAACCCUGAUCCAGCGACGCCGCGUGGGUGAUGAAGGCCUUCGGUUGUAAGCCCUUUCGUCCACGAUGAUGAUGACAGUAGUGGAAGAAGAAGCUCCGGCUAACUUCGUG